AUUGAACGCUGGCGGCAGGCCUAACACAUGCAAGUCGAGCGGUAGAGAGAAGCAUGCUUCUCUUGAGAGCGGCGGACGGGUGAGUAAUGCCUAGGAAUCUGCCUAGUGGUGGGGGAUAACGUUCGGAAACGGACGCUAAUACCGCAUACGUCCUACGGGAGAAAGCGGGGGAUCUGCGGACCGCGCUCACUUAGAUGAGCCUAGGUCGGAUUAGCUAGUUGGUGAAGUAAUGGCUCACCACGGCGACGAUCCGUAACUGGUCUGAGAGGAUGAUCAGUCACACUGGAACUGAGACACGGUCCAGACUCCUACGGGAGGCAGCAGUGGGGAAUAUUGGACAAUGGGCGAAAGCCUGAUCCAGCCAUGCCGCGUGUGUGAAGAAGGUCUUCGGAUUGUAAAGCACUUUAAGUUGGGAGGAAGGGCAGUAACCUAAUACGUUAUUGUUUUGACGUUACCGACAGAAUAAGCACCGGCUAACUUCGUGCCAGCCGCCGCGGUAAUAC
rnacentral:rRNA from 1 species